rnacentral:rRNA from 1 species
UUGUAAAGUUCUUUCGGUUGAGACAAAGUGAUUUAAUCGGAUAAUGGUUAAGUUGUGAUGGUAUCAGAAGAAGAAGCACCGGCUAACUUCGUGC